AAAGCCACAUUCCAAAGAUUGCAUCAUUCAGAAAAUAUGAUUCAUUUAACCUACAAUCUAACAGGACACUGACAAAAACCUAUCAAUUGAACUAACCUAUCAUUGAGAAAACUAACCUAACAACAUUUCCACCUCAUCAAGCUAAUGACCUCACUAACUAACAGAUCAUAUGCCAGUUGGACUACCUCGAUUUCAACCCAAAAUCAAAACAAUUAUAACUAACUAA
rnacentral:lncRNA from 1 species